CUCAGCAGGCUCAAAAAAGAACGGAUUUAAAGACCAGAGGAGGUUCAGCCUCUCAGACCCCUCACCACUACAGUAAUGGCAGCACAGAUGGACUUCAAUCUUAGACCGUACCAGGAAGAGGUGGUGCAGACAGCACUCAGAGGGGAGAACAGCAUCAUCUGGCUGCCCACCGGUGGAGGAAAAACCCGUGCUGCGGUUUAUGUCACUCAGAAGCACCUGGAGACCACAGCCAAUGCCAAAGUGGCAGUGCUGGUCAACAAGGUGCAUCUAGUUGACCAGCACUUUGCAAAAGAAUUCAAGCCUUAUCUUGAGAGAAGAUACAAGAUAACAGCCAUCAGUGGGGACAGUAAUGAGAAAGACUUUUUUGGCCGUCUAGUCAAGGCCUCAGACCUGGUCAUAUGCACGGCUCAGAUCUUGGAGAAUGCCCUGAUUAACACGGAGGAGGAAAAACACGUGGAGCUGACUGACUUUACCCUGCUGGUAAUAGACGAAUGUCACCAUACACAAAAGGAGAGCGUCUAUAAUAAGAUUAUGGGCCGCUAUGUUGAAAAGAAAUUAAGAAAAGAAAGGAAUCUGCCUCAGAUUUUGGGUCUCACAGCAUCACCUGGUACAGGAGGAAAUAGGAAACUGGAUAAGGCUGUUGAACAUGUACUGCAGAUCUGUGCCAAUCUGGACUCGGUAAUUGUGUCCACCAAGAAUUUUACAUCAGUGCUGCAGAAAGUCGUCCCUAGACCCAAAAAGCAAUAUGAUAUUGUUGAAAAAAGAGCUCUGGAUCCAUUUGGCGACCACUUAAAGGAAAUGAUGUCGAUGAUUCAUGAGUUUAUGCCGUCAACAGUGAGUCGCAGCCUGCGAGAGAUGGGCACCCAGGAAUAUGAAGCUGAUGUGGUGGAACUCGAAAAAGCAGGUGUACAGAAAGAGAACAGACUGAUUGCUCAGUGUGCUUUGCACCUGCGGCAAUACAACGACGCUCUUCUCAUUAAUGACACCGUUCGCAUGGUGGACGCGUUCCGGGGUUUAGACGAGUUCUACAGUUCAAAGAAAACCAAAUUGUUGGAUGGAACAGACAUCUUUCUCCAGGGACUUUUUGAUGAGAAUCGCCUGGAGCUUAAACAGCUGGCAUCGCAUGCCCGCUACGAAAACCCCAAACUGGCCCGUUUGCAACGCACAUUGCUGGAUGAGUUUAGUGAUAAAAACUCUCGUGGUAUCCUCUUCUCAAAGACCCGCAGGGGCACCCGUUGUCUUUAUGACUGGGUGAACACCAACCCUGCGCUGCAGAGGGUCAACAUCAGGGCUGGCAUUCUCACUGGAGCGGGUACAGGUGCAAACCACAUGACCCAGAAUGAACAGAAGGAAACCAUAAAACAUUUUCGAACUGGAAUCCUCAACCUCCUCAUCUCCACCAGCGUCGCUGAGGAAGGACUUGAUAUUCCAGAAUGCAACUUAGUUGUACGUUACGGGCUGUUGACCAAUGAGAUCGCUCAGCAGCAGGCCACUGGGCGGGCUCGAGCUGUGAACAGCGUCUAUUCAGUGGUGGCUGAAGAAGGUGGGCGUGAACUACGCAGGGAACUCACCAAUGAGUAUCUAGAAAGUCUGACGGCAAAAGCUAUUGACCAAGUGCAGCAAAUGAGUCCCAGAGAGUUUAGACACAAGAUAAGCGAGCUCCAACAAAUCGCUGUUAUGAUUCGAAUCCAGGCCGAGAAGAAGGAGGAUGACAGAAAGCAACGCUAUAGUCCUGUUCAGGCUCAGUUUCAAUGCAGAGGAUGCUUCUUGCCUGUCUGCAGUGGAGAAGAUUUAAGAAAAAUAGAAAAUACACACCAUGUCAACAUCAACCCUGAGUUUGUGAGGCAUUAUAGAAGAGGUGGGCCGGUCUUUCUGGAUAGGAGCUUUGAAGAUUGGGAGCCUGGACGAGUUAUCAAAUGCAACAAAUGUGGAAAGGAUUGGGGAAUGGAGAUGAAGUUCAAGAGGGUGGUAAUACUCCCCUGCUUAAAAAUAAAAAGCUUUUCCUUGAAGACUCCUGGAGGCAAAUCCACUCCCAAGCAGUGGAAGGAUGUCGAGUUCCAGGUUAAAGAGCUCGACUUUCUUGAGGACUUGAGCAGCCGUUUCCCUGACCUAAACUUAAAUGACUGACACACCUUUUAAACUCAGUUAAAACACUGUCACAGUUACUGUGUCAAAUCUUCUCUGUCUACAGUGAGCACAUCUGUACCAGUGGUUUUCUUCUUGUAGGUCAUGGAGGUAUUUCAAGUGGCCAUUGAUUGAUUGCUGUUAGUUCCAAACUACUUAGCAUCAUUUGAGUAUACCAUGAUCCAUUCUAAUUAUGCUGAUUAUCCAUCUUAGUUGUACUUAAAUAAUGUUUUUAAAUUGUACUGUUUACUUCGUAGUUUCUGUCAUGUGAGAGUUUUGUUUGCUUUUGUCUGAAAAAGUGUUGUGAUGGCAUUUUUAUUUUUUUAUAAUCUCAUUGAUUAUUCUGGUGUCCCUCUCUGGGAUCAGGACUGUGCUGCUCAGAUUAUUAGUUAUUGUUGAUAUUACUGUGCAAUAUGUCUCUAAAUGUAUCUGAAGUUCUUAAUGGCCCUCGCUUUCAGAUUGCUUGAACAUUUACAUAUAUUCAUUUAACGAGGAGAAAUAUGAACACAUCACUCUUCAUUUAAAGUUUGUUUAUAGCACUUAAUAUCUGUUUCUCACCAAACAUAAAAGGAUAAUGCGUAUAAUGCAUGCCUUUUCUGACCUU